GCCGCCGCCCACCGUCGGGAGCACCUCCUCCUCCUCGACCUCCGCCGACAGACCGUCGCCUCCCGGAGCUCCUCCGGCCGCCGCCGGACCGCCGCGGAACCCAUGAACCCGAGAGCAAGUCUCGGGUUGAUCUGUGCCGCCGCGCCACCGGCCGCCUUCCGCCGCCGGGCAGCGCCUGCCCGGGACCCCUCCGACCUUCCACGCUCGUCCCCGGCCGGAGCGCCCACCUUCCGGCAGCUGCCGGCCAACCCUAGCUCUCUCGGAUCUGGUAAGCUGAAACUUUAGUUACAGCACUCAGUUUU
rnacentral:lncRNA from 1 species